GACGAACGCUGGCGGCGUGCUUUAGACAUGCAAGUCGAACGAGAUCUUCGGAUCUAGUGGCGAACGGCGGAGUAAUACAUAAACAACGUGCCCUGAAGACUGGGAUAUACGGUCGAAAGGCCGAGCAAUACCGGAUGUGGCCGAGACUAGGCAUCUAGACUCGAUUAAAUGGUUUUUCGCUUCAGGAGCGGUUUAUGACUCAUCAGCUAGUUGGUAGGGUAAUGGCCUACCAAGGCUACGACGGGUAGGGGGUCUGAGAGGAUGAUCCCCCCGAGUGGGACUGAGACACGGCCCACACACCUACGGGUGGCAGCAGUUUGGAAUCUUGCCCAAUGGGGGAAACCCUGAGGCAGCGACGCCGCGUGGAGGAUGAAGGAUUUAGGCUGUAAACUCCUUUUGCCAGGAAAGACUUAGGACGGUACCUGGCGAAUAAGCUCCGGCUAACUACGUGCCAGCAGCCGCGGUAAU
rnacentral:rRNA from 1 species